rnacentral:rRNA from 1 species
GAUGAACGCUGGCGGCGUGCCUAAUACAUGCAAGUCGAGCGAACAGAUGAGGAGCUUGCUCCUCUGACGUUAGCGGCGGACGGGUGAGUAACACGUGGAUAACCUACCUAUAAGACUGGGAUAACUUCGGGAAACCGGAGCUAAUACCGGAUAAUAUAUUGAACCGCAUGGUUCAAUAGUGAAAGACGGUUUUGCUGUCACUUAUAGAUGGAUCCGCGCCGCAUUAGCUAGUUGGUAAGGUAACGGCUUACCAAGGCAACGAUGCGUAGCCGACCUGAGAGGGUGAUCGGCCACACUGGAACUGAGACACGGUCCAGACUCCUACGGGAGGCAGCAGUAGGGAAUCUUCCGCAAUGGGCGAAAGCCUGACGGAGCAACGCCGCGUGAGUGAUGAAGGUCUUCGGAUCGUAAAACUCUGUUAUUAGGGAAGAACAAUGUGUAAGUAACUAUGCACGUCUUGACGGUACCCAAUCAGAAAGCCACGGCUAACUACGUG